AGAGGCUCUGCCGGCCAAUAGCAAGCGAAAGACAACUAACGUUGGUGACUGGGCAGAAUGAGCACUCACAGUUUUGAUGACCACUUGGUCGCAUUGGAUGGACUCUCUUGUGACUUCACAUGGCACCAUUUUCCUGGAAGCCUCCAUAAUUGAGCUCCUUCAAAUAGAGGAAGAUUCCCAAGGAAUUCCAAAGUUCUGAGCAUUUACCACCACCAUGCCAAAUAAAUAAAGGCAAUGAAGAACACAGAAGUCACUGUCAGCCCCCCAUCAGGCUGUGGUCCCAUCUUUGCAAAAUCAUUAAGAGAAUAUUCUCUGCAUACCUACAGGACAGAUUCUACUAAAACAGAGAAAGGGCAGGAUGUAGCAAAAUAGUUCCAAAGCACCUGUUUUGUUUCGCUGGGCAUAUUUAUUUUAUAAAGGUUUUUUCUUUUCCACUUGGGGUAAA